rnacentral:rRNA from 1 species
GUUGCCAUCGGGUAAUGCCGGGCGACUCUGGAAGGGACUGCCAUCGACAAGAUGGAGGAAGGUGGGGAUGACGUCGAAGUCAUCAUGGCCCUUAUGUCCAGGGCGACACACGUGCUACAAUGGCCGGCACAACGGGAAGCGAGUUCGCGACGGACAAGGCGGAUCCCUUAAAGACCGGUCGCAGUUCGGAUUGAAGUCUGCAACUCGACUUCAUGAAGCUGGAAUCGCUAGUAAUCGUGGAUCAGCCAAGCCGCGGUGAAUACGUUCCCGGGCCUU